rnacentral:misc_RNA from 1 species
GAUGAAGAACGUAGCGAAAUGCGAUAAGUAGUGUGAAUUGCAGAAUUCAGUGAAUCAUCGAAUCUUUGAACGCACAUUGCGCCCCAUGGUAUUCCGUGGGGCAUGCCUGUUCGAGCGUCAUUUACCCCCUCAAGCUCCGCUUGGUGUUGGGCGUCUGUCCCGCUUCGCGCGCGGACUCGCCCCAAAGGUAUUGGCAGCGGUCGUGCCAGCUUCUCGCGCAGCACAUUGCGCUUCUCGAGGCACCGGUGGGCCCGCGUCCAUCAAGCUCACCCCCCAAGUUUGACCUCGGAUCAGGUAGGGAUACCCGCUGAACUUAAGCAUAUCAAUAAGCGGAGGA